UACGAAGGGGGCUAGCGUUGCUCGGAAUUACUGGGCGUAAAGCGCACGUAGGCGGUCUUUUAAGUCGGGGGUGAAAUCCUGGAGCUCAACUCCAGAACUGCCUUCGAUACUGAAAGACUUGAGUCCGGGAGAGGUGAGUGGAACUGCGAGUGUAGAGGUGAAAUUCGUAGAUAUUCGCAAGAACACCAGUGGCGAAGGCGGCUC
rnacentral:rRNA from 1 species